rnacentral:rRNA from 1 species
UGGGGAAUCUUGGGCAAUGGGCGCAAGCCUGACCCAGCCAUGCCGCGUGUGUGAAGAAGGCCUUCGGGUUGUAAAGCACUUUCAGUGGCGAAGAAAAGCCGGCGGUCAAUAGCCGCCGGUGUUGACGUUAACCACAGAAGAAGCACCGGCUAACUCCGUGCCAGCAGCCGCGGUAAUACGGAGGGUGCGAACGUUAAUCGGAAUUACUGGGCGUAAAGCGCGCGUAGGCGGUUCGGUAAGUGGGAUGUGAAAGCCCCGGGCUCAACCUGGGAAUUGCAUUUCAAACUGCCGGACUCGAGUAUGGUAGAGGGAGGUAGAAUUUCCUGUGUAGCGGUGGAAUGCGUAGAUAUAGGAAGGAAUACCAAUGGCGAAGGCAGCCUCCUGGACCAAUACUGACGCUGAGGUGCGAAAGCGUGGGGAGCAAACAGGAUUAGAUACCCCCGUAGUCC